rnacentral:lncRNA from 1 species
UCGUCAAUCACAAGUCACCAUUCAGCAGUCAAUCUUUAAAUAAUCCAUGAUACGAACCCCCGGGAAAAAUUGAGAGUUUUUUCUCUGUGGACACCGAUUCAGGUGUUAACGAUCUUGCUCUCUCUCGCUCACUGUUAUUUGUAUUACCUGCAGACGCAGAACAGCUGCGUCCUAUCCCAACCCAAGUAGCUGGAAAAGUAAUCUCAACAGCAGCAGCAAUUUAAUCGACCAAGAAAAUGGCUCAAGAGUCACUGACGGAAACCCCAGUCAUCUCGUCAAAUACUCUAUCGCAGACAGAUUCAUCUCUUUCUAGAAGCGUUUCUUUUAGCCGGCUCAAUGCACAGGCACCAGAAUUUGUGCCCACUCGACCCACCCCACGAACCGAUUUGCAGCAGCAACCUAGACCCGUACUACUUCCGCCUCCUUCUCCUCCUUCGGCAUCAGGUAUGGUACAUGUUUACUCACCAUCCCCAUCUUCGCCGUUCCAUAUACCGAUUCGAGGCCACGUACCAGUCGCUAAUCACCACCACCACCGCCACCAUCAUGUUCCGGUUCACUACCGGUCUCAUCAUCACCCUCAUCAAUAUCAUGUUAGCUCCGAUUCGGCUGUGCAGCAACCUCAGCAGUCUCACGUUGAGCCAGAUCACACUCCUUUCAAAAGCAAGCAUUCCGGUAUGUUGAUUAAUUUAAAAAAAAAUAGAAAUAGAAAUAUAUAUAUAUAUAUAUAUAAAUCCAAAAUUAAAGAUUUAAAAACUUAUGAAACUAAAAGUACAUUUAGACCUAAUAAAUAUUGUUUCUGGGCAAAAAAAGCAAAAAACCUCACCGUGGUCAGCGUUCAUCUUCGUCAAUCACAAGUCACCAUUCAGCAGUCAAUCUUUAAAUAAUCCAUGAUACGAACCCCCGGGAAAAAUUGAGAGUUUUUUCUCUGUGGACACCGAUUCAGGUGUUAACGAUCUUGCUCUCUCUCGCUCACUGUUAUUUGUAUUACCUGCAGACGCAGAACAGCUGCGUCCUAUCCCAACCCAAGUAGCUGGAAAAGUAAUCUCAACAGCAGCAGCAAUUUAAUCGACCAAGAAAAUGGCUCAAGAGUCACUGACGGAAACCCCAGUCAUCUCGUCAAAUACUCUAUCGCAG